AUCUGAUAAUGUGGAAACUUACAAAGUAUGUCCCUGAAAUACUCCCAGGUCUCAAAGAAAAUUUCACCAUCCAUCUGCGUUAAACUUGUGAUUGCCCUUCGCAACU